rnacentral:rRNA from 1 species
GAUGAACGCUGGCGGCGUGCUUAACACAUGCAAGUCGAACGAAGCACGUUAUUUUAUUUCCUUCGGGACUGACUAUUUUGUGACUGAGUGGCGGACGGGUGAGUAACGCGUGGGUAACCCGCCUUGUACAGGGGGAUAACAGUUGAAAACGGCUGCUAAUACCGCAUAAGCGCCCUGCGACCCCUGAUGCAGUGAUAAAAACUCGGGUGGUAUACGAGGGACCGGCGUAGGAUUAGCCAGUUGGGGCGGUAACGGCCCACCAAGGCGACGAUCCAUAGCCGACCUGAGAGGGUGACCGGCCACACUGGGACUGAGACACGGCCCAAAAUCCUACGGGAGGCAGCAGUGGGGAAUAUUGCACAAUGGGCGAAAGCCUGAUGCAGCGACGCCGCGUGAGCGAAGAAGUAUUUCGGUAUGUAAAGCUCUAUCAGCAGGGAAGAUAAUGACGGUACCUGACUAAGAAGCACCGGCUAAAUACGUG